rnacentral:lncRNA from 1 species
CUGCUGGAACUUCGCGUGCUUCCCGCGCGCAAGGUACGAACGUCGCUCCCUCUGCUGUCGCUGAUCCAACGCCCCUUCCGAGGCGGCGCCGGCCGCGAGGUCCUCGUCGCUCCCGCGGGUCUUCGUCCCUCCCGGCCUAUGACCUGCGCCACUUUUUGUCGGGAUCCUCGAAGCCAGCCCCUUAAGUUCGUCCGGGGGACGUCCGCGACCGCGAC